AGUUUUCAUUUCAUAAUGGGAUAAGAAUAUGUUUUAUUAAAACCUAUAAAGCAAAAAUCAGCUUAGUUAUCAACUUCCAGAAGCAAAUUCUUCAGAAUAUUGCUGGGCUAUUCAAGAACUGGGGUGUUGAUGAAAAUCCUGAUGCAUUGAUGCUGCCAUUCAAUUUCUAAAGGUUUCUUGAAGAAAAAUAGAGUAAUUGUUGAAGGAAUGAACAAAUUCAGAUAAGCCUGUUUACUAAACUAGAACCAGAACGUACACUCUUAAGAGUCUCCAAGUUCUCUAUGAAUCCAUGAAAUCUGUGCUUUUACUUCAAUUACGAUAUUUUUAAAAGAAUGAGUGCUGUAUUAAAGAAAUCAAAAUCAUGCAAAUUCUGGAUCAUAUGAGUGCAACCACAAUCUUACUGCCUCUUUUGCUAUGUACCUAUAAGGACGUGCAGUUUAUUUAAGUAAUAUUUUGAUGAAAAACAACGGGGCAUCACUGAAGUUCCAUGGUAAUUUUUUAAAGUUUUGUAUAUUACUUAAGUGUGAGAAACACUACUUACCCCAGCUGCAUGCAUCAUAACUGUUCUUGGAGAAUGAUGAAUUAAAAGGCCUUGAAUCUGAAAUUUAGUUCUAAUCCUGAGGCCCUAAGAAACUGAUAUUAUAUUCUAAAAAUCGAAGUGACUAAAUCAGAAUAGUGGAGAGAAGAAGAGAAAAUCAAAAGCCGAAAGUUGCACUAAAGAUUCUGUCGGGUUUGGCACCCUUUUUCCCAAAAGGUAAACGUUUAAACCAGUCAGGGCAGACAUUUGUUUAUCUUCAAGUUAACCUUUCCCAAAUGUAUCAAUGACUCAUUAAUCGUGCAUUUCAUACAAGAGUUAUUGGCCAUCUACCAUAUUCAGGGAACUGUGAGAGCUAAGCAGGGAGUCCUCAUGCUGCCUAUGGUUUAAGGAAGUUGGUGCAGUCACUCCUGGCACACAGCAGGUUAUGUGCAAACCAGUGUGUGACUGUGGGCCAACUAUGUGAUAAAAGAGGCAUCACAAAAUUGUGCAAAUUAUUGUGCAAAUUAUUCAUUAAAUGAUGUUGAAGCACUUGCCAAAAAUUCUGUUAGUGCCUCCCCUCAUACCAUUCCUGAAAAUAUUUCCAAAAGGAAUAAGAUGUUAAAUAUAUUUUUUUUAGAAAAUCAUAAAUUAACUCAAAGCAAAUAUAGGUAAAUACUUAUCUUUACUUUGGAAAAGGACCAUGGAAGAAAGAAAGCUGCAGAAGAAACAAAGAUUGGUUGGCUUGACUACAUAAAAAUAUUUCCCUAUUUUCUCAAAAUUUCCCCUAAAUUUUUUUUAGCAAAAAACCAAACAAAUAAGAGACAAAAGAAGAAAUGAAGAAGCAACACUAUAUUAUAUUAACACAUAUUAUAACAUAUGCUCAAAGGGUUAAAAUCUUUAAUAUAUGAAAGAAGUCUUACAAAUCAACAAAAUGAAUCUUCUAUAGAAAGUUGGACAAAUAUCAUGAAUAGAUGAGAAAAAAAUCUAUUAUAUAUGAGAAUUAGAAAAAAAUUUUACUCACUGUAAAAACUGAAGAAAAAGUAAUGGAAACAAAACAGAUAAAAUGUUUCAUACAAUUUGUCAGCAAUUGAGAAUACUGUCUAUUGGUAAGAUUGACUUUAUAAAGGACACAGUUGCCAUGGAGAAUGUAAACUGGAAAGCAAUUUCUAGAAAGUAAUUAGGUGAUAUGUAUCAAACAUCUUAAAAAUAUUUAUAACAUUUGACACAUUAAUCCCAUUUCAGGAAUUAAUGCUAUGAAAAUAAUCAUCAGUUACACAAAAAUUUGUUUAAAAGAAUAAUCAGCAUCUAAUAACUUUAGAAAUGGUGA